rnacentral:rRNA from 1 species
GACAGAGGGGGCAAGCGUUGCUCGGAAUCACUGGGCGUAAAGGGCUCGUAGGCGGUCUGUCGCGUCGGUCGUGAAAACUUGGGGCUUAACCCUGAGCUUGCGGUCGAUACGGGCAUGACUGGAGUUCGGCAGGGGAGACUGGAAUUCCUGGUGUAGCGGUGAAAUGCGCAGAUAUCAGGAGGAACACCGGUGGCGAAGGCGGGUCUCUGGGCCGAUACUGACGCUGAGGAGCGAAAGCGUGGGGAGCGAACAGG